AACAAACGCUGGCGGCGUGCCUAACACAUGCAAGUCGUACGAGAAAGUCCGCUUCGGUGGAUAAGUAAAGUGGCGCACGGGUGAGUAACGCGUGGAUAAUCUACCCUUCAGUUUGGAAUAACCCGCCGAAAGGCGAGCUAAUACCGAAUAAUAUUCCGAAUGCUUCGGCAUUUGUAAUCAAAGGUGGCCUCUGCUUGCAAGCCAUCACUAAAGGAUGAGUCCGCGUACCAUUAGCUAGUUGGCAGGGUAAUGGCCUACCAAGGCUUCGAUGGUUAGCUGGUCUGAGAGGAUGAUCAGCCACACUGGAACUGAGACACGGUCCAGACUCCUACGGGAGGCUG
rnacentral:rRNA from 1 species